AUUGAACGCUGGCGGCAUGCUCUACACAUGCAAGUCGAACGGUAACAGGUUAAGCUGACGAGUGGCGAACGGGUGAGUAAUGCAUCGGAACGUGCCCGGUCGUGGGGGAUAACGCAGCGAAAGUUGCGCUAAUACCGCAUACGAUCUGAGGAUGAAAGCGGGGGACCGUAAGGCCUCGCGCGAUCGGAGCGGCCGAUGUCAGAUUAGGUAGUUGGUGGGGUAAAGGCUCACCAAGCCAACGAUCUGUAGCUGGUCUGAGAGGACGACCAGCCACACUGGGACUGAGACACGGCCCAGACUCCCACGGGGGGCAGCAGUGGGGAAUUUUGGACGAUGGGCGAAAGCCUGAUCCAGCAAUGCCGCGUGCAGGAAGAAGGCCUUCGGGUUGUAAACUGCUUUUGUACGGAGCGAAAAGGUCUCCUCUAAUACAGGGGGCUCAUGACGGUACCGUAAGAAUAAGCACCGGCUAACUACGUGCCAGCCGCCGCAGUAA
rnacentral:rRNA from 1 species